AGUGAACGCUGGCGGUAGGCCUAACACAUGCAAGUCGAACGGCAGCACAGUAAGAGCUUGCUCUUACGGGUGGCGAGUGGCGGGCGGGUGAGGAAUACAUCGGAAUCUACUUUUUCGUGGGGGAUAACGGAGGGCAACUUACGAUAAUACCGCAUACGAUCUACGGGUGAAAGCAGGGGAUCUUCGCGCCUUUCGCGUUUGUAUGAGCCGAUGGCGGAUUAGCUAGUUGGCUGGGUAAAGGACCACCAAGGCGACGAUCCGUAGCUCGACCGAGAGGAUGGUCAGCCAAACUGGAACCUAGGCACGGUCCAGACUCCUAAGGGAGGGAGCAGUGGGGAAUAUUGGCCAAUUGGGGCAAGCCUUGACCAGCCAUAGCGGGUGGGUGGAGGAGGCCUUCCGGUUGUAAAGCCCUUUUUUUGGGAGAGAAAAGCGUCAGGUUGAUACCCCGCGGUUCUGACGGUACCCAAAGAAGAAGCACCGGCUAACUUCGUG
rnacentral:rRNA from 1 species